AAUCAACGCUGGCGGCGUGCCUAACACAUGCAAGUCGAACGCGGUUGGUCCGCAAGGACCAAUCGAGUGGCGAACGGGUGAGUAACACGUGGGUGACCUACCUUCGAGUGGGGGAUAACGUUCCGAAAGGAACGCUAAUACCGCAUAACAUCCUGCCUUUGAACAGGCGGAGAUCAAAGACCGGGGAGUCGCAAGACCUGGCGCUGGAUGAGGGGCCCGCGUCCGAUUAGCUAGUUGGGAGG
rnacentral:rRNA from 1 species